rnacentral:rRNA from 1 species
AUGUCAUUACAUAAUUUUUGCACGGUUUGUAGAAUACCCUUUGAGGGCGGUUUAGAGGAACCACAUCAUAAAGAUGUGGAUGACUUUAUUGAUACUAUCACUAUAGGGGAAUCGAGGAAGGCUUCCGAUGCAAGAAUAACUAGCAUACAUUUCCCUGUGUUACGCUACUUUGCCAUAUUUGCUAGUCGAUGCCUAAUUGUUCGCGGAAACUGUGGAAACCUCAGUGUUCCUGAUAUUAUUAUUCUGUUCCAUGCCUUAUUUUGUGAUAACACUUUUAGUAUGGGUGCCGUUAUUGCUAAACGUUUAAGUCUGAACCGUACAAAGGGCCCCAUUUUCGGAGGUAUCUAUGCUGCACACCUUGCUAAACAUUUCGAGAUACCUAUUAGGCAUUAUGAGAAAGAGUAA